GAGGCUAUAGCUCAAUGGUAGAGUACAUGCUAAGCAUGCACAAGGUCCUGGGUUCAAGCCCCUGUACUUCCA
rnacentral:tRNA from 1 species